CUUCAUUCCAGCCGCCUCCACUUCCUCCCCCUCUCUUCUUCUUCCCUCUCCCGUCGUUCCUCCUCUCUCUCCCCCUUUUUCCGACCACCAAGCUGCCUUCCCUCUCUCCACCGCCAUCCUCCCUCUUCUCCUGUCCCUUUCGUAUCACUUUUUCUUCCCCCCUCUUCCCUUCUCCCUCUCGUCUUCCUCCCCUUCUCCGUCUCCAUUCUCUUCCUCUCAUCUCUAAAAUCAGCAACAGCCGCAACUCCGGCAGAGUUCCAUGGCCACCAACAGCUCCGGCGAAGGGGACAACAAUAACUCCAACAAGUGAGGAUGAAAGCAGUUACCGACUUAGCUACAGUUUGCUGAGAUCAUCAAUCAAUUUAUAAUAAACGGAUCUUUCAGAUCCGUCGAGCCAUUUUUUUCAUUCUUUAAUGAAACUAUUACAUUCUCUAUGUUCGUCUUGUUGCUUUCUUAGAGUAUAUUACAUGAAAAUGUGGGAUUCAACUCCUGAUUUGAGGUCAUAGUGUUUGUCACCGUUUGUGAUUACUGGUGUUCUCCGGGUUUAAACCUCUU
rnacentral:misc_RNA from 1 species